rnacentral:lncRNA from 1 species
ACUGCUAUGGGAGACAAGGCUAGGCCACUGAAAUAUAAAGGGUUCUUUCUUUUCUGUUACUACUAUAGGAGACCAGGCUAGGCCACUGAAAUGCAAAGGGUUUCUGAGCUGAGGCCUUCAUGAAGAUGAGCUCUGCUGCCCUGGGUUCUCCCAACUACUGAAGCUUUAUUGUCUGAGUCCUCUUCCAGGCUCAUUUGCUACCUUUUAGUUGGGAAGGAUGGGUGACCUUCCAUGCGUGCCUCGGCUUCAGAACAGGCACAGGCAGGCCCUGGCAUAGUAGUCUUUGUCUUCUAGGUUCAAAGUGCGUAACAGACAAAUCUAGAGAAAGGAAGUCAACCAAUACCCUGGCAUAAAACUUCUCCCUUGUGUUUCCCUCUUAAACAUGCGUGAGGUUUUUCUUAAACCAUUAUCUCUGAGCAGAAGCUUGUGGGAGGGAGAAAGGAGCUUGAGAUGGGCUGUACUUACUUUACUGAUUUGCAUCUGGUCUCAUUCCAAAGUCGUCAUCAGAGGCACACAUCCUUAACUGUCUCCGACGGCUGUGGACCCCACUCCGAGGCUUCUGUGUUACAGCUUCAUUGAUGAUCCUGGCAUAUCCAGAGAUACAUGAAGACUGAUCUAAGUCCUUCCUGCUAAGUAAAGAGCCUCCAGGUAGCAGCUUGGUG